UACGUAGGGGGCAAGCGUUGUCCGGAUUUACUGGGCGUAAAGGGCGCGUAGGCGGCGCGGUAAGUCACUUGUGAAAUCUCUGAGCUUAACUCAGAACGGCCAAGUGAUACUGCAGUGCUAGAGUGUGGAAGGGGCAAUCGGAAUUCUUGGUGUAGCGGUGAAAUGCGUAGAUAUCAAGAGGAACACCUGAGGUGAAGACGGGUUGCUGGGCCAACACUGACGCUGAUGCGCGAAAGCCAGGGGAGCAAACGGG
rnacentral:rRNA from 1 species